AACUUUUGGAAACGCUGUAUAAAAUGUAAACGGAAUACAAGGAUUUUAAAUCUCAUAAACUCGUAUUUUACUCACAAUAGAAGACAGAGGACAUAUACCUGAUAUCUGCUCUGAUGGCAGCAACACGUCUCAGAGAAGUUAGGAUGAGGCAACGAAAGGCCAGAAAAGUAAGAAACAGCAAGAGGAACAUUUGAUAAUUAUUGGCAACAGGGACGAGGCCGAUAACUGUGACCUGUACAUUAAAACAUCAGUGCACGGGCUCAGGAACACUUCAAGAAACCAGCGAGCACCUCGGCGUGCAGGUUACUGCUCCAUCACACAGAGAAGAAGCCACGUGUGACCACAAUGGAGAAACAGCACCACAUCCUCUGGACCAAAGCUCCUUAAAACAGAUCUGAGGUCAGACCCAUCCAAACAUGGAGGUCCUCAGACUGAAGAGGAGGAGGAGCAGAGUCCAGCCGCUGAACCGGCCUGCCUGCAGUCCAGACCUCUGACCAGCUGACAACAUCUGGAGCAUCAUGAAAGCAACAUGAGGACGAAGCAGAGCCAGGACUGCUGAGCAGCUGGAAUCCUCCAUCAGUCCAUCACAGACUGAUGUUACAGAGCAAACAUGGACCUGUCCUACUUUUACAGACGUG